AUGAUUUAACAUUUCAACUGGGUGAAGAUCAAAUUUACUUUGAAGCUGUUCCAUGCCAGUGAGAUGUCACCAACAUGUAAAUUGUGCUGCAGGUUGAUCAUCCAUGUGAGCAGAGAAGAAACACUACCGAGUAUCGGCCUCUUUUUCCUGCAAAUGAUCUUUUAUUGACAAGUGAUUUAGUGUGAUUAUAUAUCGGAGAAAGCUCUGGUUUUGAUUGCUUGUCUAACUGAAUAUAUUAUUUUUCCAACUGAAUAUUGCUAAUUGUUUUACAAGUUGUUUUUUAUGUUAUUUUCCAUAUGUAAUUUUCAUCUUUAAAGUCCAGACGAAGGAGAUUACCUUUCUUGUUGUCUUUUUUGUUGUUUCUAUGCAGCUUCGCUAAUUGUGAAACUCGUUCAUUGCUAGUUGUUGAUAGGAGGUGAGCUUGUCGUUGGAAAACCUCUGCAGACCUGUAAGUUUUGGUCUUGUCUUGGCAGGUUGAUGGAAUCUAUCCUGGAAAAAUUCCUCACGAGCUUGACCCUCCUGCUGACGUUGCAGAACUGCAAGAAGCAUCUGGAGAAGGGUGCUUGCUUGCAAUUAAUUAGAGGCCAUGGUUAUGGAAAGUGUUACACAGUCAAUACGAUUGUUCUGAGGUUUUCCCUUCUUGUUGUAUUUGUAAUUUUGUAUGUGAAGGAGUAUAAAGAUGUUCUUUUAUUGAUACCAUUUCGAAUAGUC
rnacentral:sRNA from 1 species